AUAGGCAAUUCUAUCGGAGGUGAAAUUGCAAUGCUAGCCACUCUUUGGUUUUUGCAAAUGAAGGCAAAGAAACAUAUCUUGUUUUUGUAUUACAUUUUUUCUCCUUUGGUAGGAAAUGCUAUUCUUUGGGAGGCAAUUGGGCGUGGGGAUUGAAUGGGAAAAUUCUGUCAUAUUGUUUCCAGGAAAUAGAUGUGCAUAGAAAUGGGCCAUUCUAUGGGAGGUGAAAUUGUUCCCAGGAUGCUUCUUGCACUAUUUGAAUCAAUUGCCAAGCCUUUGAAUGUGAUUGUUCCUCACUGGAUAUCCAUGUGUUGCAUCUCAUUCACACUGACUUGAAGCCAGAAAAUUUACUUGUUUCUUCAGAUUAUGUAAAUAUUUCAGAUAAUAAUGUAUCGGAUGGACACACUGUUGUGAUAUUUGGAGUUUUGGAUGUACAAUUGUCGAGCUUUUCUCUUGUACAACCUGAGUUGAUCUAGUGAUGGAAAACUUGUGCUCUUGAAUGAGAGGUCACAAGUUCAAAUCCCACAAGGGUGUCAGGUACGAAGUAGUCCCAUAGAGCUCUAACCCAUCUGUAGACCCAUACAUAGAUGGCUGGCAUUGUGGACUAUAAAAGACAUUUUACUUUCUUUAAGAUUCAAAGCUGCUUGCUAUGUAAAGGCAUUUGAAGGCAGAGACGGGCAAACAG